rnacentral:rRNA from 1 species
UACGUAGGUGGCAAGCGUUGUCCGGAAUGACUGGGCGUAAAGGGUGCGUAGGUGGUUUUAUAAGUUAGUAGUGAAAUUCCGGGGCUCAACUCCGGCGCUACUACUAAGACUGUAAGACUUGAGUGCGGGAGAGGUAAGUGGAAUUCCUAGUGUAGCGGUGGAAUGCGUAGAUAUUAGGAGGAACACCAGUGGCGAAGGCGACUUACUGGACCGUAACUGACACUGAGGCACGAAAGCGUGGGGAGCAAAC